rnacentral:rRNA from 1 species
GACGAACGCUGGCGGUGUGCUUAACACAUGCAAGUGGUGCGACGAACCAGAGCUUGCUCUGGGGCAAAGCCGCGAACGGGUGAGUAACACGUGGGUAACGUACCCCGAUCACCGGGACAACCCGAGGAAACUCGGGCUAAUACCGGAUGUGUCCGUGAAUCAUGAGGUUCACGUGCAAAGGAAGCUUCGGCCUCCGGAUCGGGAGCGGCCCGCGGCCCAUUAGCCAGUUGGUGGGGUAACGGCCUACCAAAGCGACGAUGGGUAGCUGGUCUGAGAGGACGAUCAGCCACACUGGGACUGAGACACGGCCCAGACUCCUACGGGAGGCAGCAGUGGGGAAUCUUGCGCAAUGCGCGAAAGCGUGACGCAGCAACACCGCGUGA